rnacentral:rRNA from 1 species
GACGAACGCUGGCGGCGUGCUUAACACAUGCAAGUCGAACGGUGAAGCGCUUGCCUUUUUGGUGGGUGUGGAUGAGUGGCGAACGGGUGAGUAACACGUGAGUAACCUGCCCUCUUCUUCUGGAUAACCUCAUGAAAGUGGGGCUAAUACGGGGUAUUCCGGGUCUGUCGCAUGGCGGGUUUGGGAAAGAUUGCGCCUUUGGGUGUUUUCGGUGGGGGAUGGGCUCGCGGCCUAUCAGCUUGUUGGUGGGGUGAUGGCCUACCAAGGCGGUGACGGGUAGCCGGCCUGAGAGGGUGGACGGCCACACUGGGACUGAGACACGGCCCAGACGCCUGCGGGAGGCAGCAGUGGGGAAUAUUGCACAAUGGGCGCAAGCCUGAUGCAGCGACGCCGCGUGAGGGAUGGAGGCCUUCGGGUGGUGAACCUCUUUCGCCAGUGAAGCAGGCCUGCUCCUGUGUGGGUGGGUUGACGGUAGCUGGAGAAGAAGCGCCGGCUAACUACGUG